rnacentral:ribozyme from 15 species
AUUGAAUCACAUCCUCCGAAUAAGUGUGUUGUUGUGGACGAUUAUUCUUCGAACUUUUUUUUGCCUUUUUCUUAUUCGUAAUUCGUGAU